rnacentral:rRNA from 1 species
UACAGAGGUCUCAAGCGUUUGUUCGGAUUCAUUGGGCGUAAAGGGUGCGUAGGCGGCGCGGUAAGUCGGGUGUAAGAAUCGACGCUUAACUCCGAAACUGCAUUCGAUACUGCCGUGCUUGAGGGACUGGAGAGGAGACUGGAAAUUUACGGUGUAGCGGUGAAAUGCGUAGAUAUCGUAAGGAAGACCAGUGGCGAAGGCGGGUCUCUGGACAGUUCCGUGACGUGGAGGCGCGAAAGCCGUGGGGAGCAAACGGGA